rnacentral:sRNA from 1 species
CCCCCGCGACAAAGCGCGCGAAAAUCGCCUACUUGAGCUCGCCUUCCCCUCAUCGUCUGCCUCCGCUUUUCUUCUCAAAAAGUCCCUUUCUCCUCUGGGGCCCGCAGCAACCCGUCUCCGGAAAUGGGAGAAGAUGAACCUCGGACUCUAAAGAUCUAGCUCGGACCCUGCCUGAAUGGGCAGCUGCGGGACCCCGGGCCGCGGGGACCGACGUGAGAGGGAGCGGAGCGGAAGGAUCCGAGCCGGUGCUGAGGCUGCCGGGACUGUAACUCGCGCCCCGCGCUCUCCACAGAGAGUCCCGUGGUGUGGGUAACUUGGGACUGCGAGUCCUUUCACUCUAGUGGGAAGCCUUCUCCAUAACACUAUCCUGUAGACCCUAGUUUGUCAGCUCCCCAGCGAGCCUCCAACCCGCUCUCAUUGAGCUUUGACCCUUGAUGGAGAUGGGAGGCGGGAGCUACCGAAAGUGGCUCCUUCACCUUAGAAGCGCCACGUCGUAGGCUCCUAAACCUCGCCAGAAAGGGAUGCAGGGGAAAGGGUUUGAGGUAACACCCUCAGCCUCACUCCCAGGAUUCUGGGAACUGUCCCAGCCAUUUCUGAGCAGUACAUCUAAAAGCUGACAUCUAACAUCCGUUUCAUCGUCUCCAUUGUACUUUAUCUGAAAUGGUCAUGCUCACUGAUCCGCUCAUCCAAAAGAGUUGGAUGGUAAGAUAGUCCCUUUCGUCUUCACUGUAUUCCCCUAAUUUAGAUUAUUUCUCCACAGUAAGGACUUCUUAGAACAGUGUGUUUGAAAAAUUACAGAGCGCUCCUUGUUUGGUUGACGGAGUCACUAGAGAAGAAAACAGGGAUGUUAAGGCAAGUUAUGAAGAAAUUCCUAUGCCCUGCUAAAGCCUCAUGAUCUACUCAAAGCAGAGAUUUUAACAUGUUAGUGAUGAUCAAUCUGGUUUUGGACAAAAUCCACUGACUGCAGCUAUGGCCUCAUGAACUGUAUACGAUAAAGACUACCAAGUAUGGAGAUAGCAGAGUGUUAUCUUACAUGCUAAAAGGUGCCAUACCUUUGGAUUAAAAUACAAAGGUAUAUUGCUGAGGGAAGAGUCCUCAUACAGGGAGAGGUAACCCUCUCUAAAUCCCAGAUAGACAAAUGACAACAGACCAAAGAAACAGCUCUGGCUUCAUCAAGCUUUAGUGAAACAGAGAAUUAGUUUGCUGGGAUCACAUAGAAGGAGAGCAUGGAUGACUCAAAGGCGUCUGCAUCAUCAAAAUGCCCAUUAUUCUGUCCGGGGUGACAACCUACAAAAGCUGCAGCUCCCUACACACACACACACACACACACACACACACACACACACACACACACACACACACACGCACACACGCAUCCCUGGGGAAGGCUGUGCAUAAGACUAUGAGCCUUCUAUAGCUACAGAGUACUCCAGUAGCAUAGGUUGUCAUCCAGGACAAGGAGUUAAAAGAUUUUAAAUAGGAUGGGCUACCUGUCUCAAAAAGUAAAAACAAAACCAAAAAAACCCCCAAAACUUCAAUUGUGUAAAAUAUCCUCACCCCAAUCACUCAGUUCCAUGCCAACUCUUGAGUUUUCAUUGGGCUGUGAUUAGGAUUGGUGGGACUCAAAUUAUGCUGGCUGCAAAUUCUCCCUAAGCAGCCUGAUUAUUCUGACACUGCAUGACAGUUGGAGACUCUUUUGGUGGAAAUCUAGUUUUCUCUUCAUUUACAGACCACACUGUGGUAGAAAUCCAAGUGCUUCUGAGAAAUCUUUUUCUUAUGGCCUUGGCUCAAUGAUAAGCCAGACCUGCUCACCCAUGAAGCAGACCAAAGAGGCCUGGAAGGUGGAAAGAAAGCAGACAGGACCAAAUGUACCAGCUAUUCUGGAGUGACUGAGUUAGGCAUGGUGAGAGGUUCCAGUGACAUUGGAAAUGGAAUAAGGAUGGGAGCUGAAGAGAAGGCUUAGCAGGUAAUAAACAAGCACUUGCUGCUCUUUAAGAGGAUGUGGGUUGAGUUCCCACCAUUGGCAUUCCAGCUGGCAGCCAUUCAUAACAGCAGUUCCAGAAGAUCAGAUACCUUCUUCAGGCCUCAGCAGUUACCAGCCACAAGCACAGACCACACACACACACACAUGCUGCAAAACACUGACACAUAUAGGCUAAAAUACAUAAGCAGAUAAGCCUUUAGAAACAAGAACAUGCAAAUGGGAAAUGAGGUUGAGUCUCCCCAUUCUGUUUUUCUAAAAAUAAUACUGGAAUAGUCUACUGCAAAUCAUCUCAAGAUUAUCUCAUACAUUUCACUUUGUGUUGUAGAAAUUUUAAUAUUCCUAACAUCUGAGGUAGUUCAGUAAAUGGCAGUCCUCUGUCUCU